rnacentral:rRNA from 1 species
AGAGUUUGAUCCUGGCUCAGGAUGAACGCUGGCGGCGUGCCUAACACAUGCAAGUCGAGCGAUUUACUUCGGUAAAGAGCGGCGGACGGGUGAGUAACGCGUGGGUAACCUGCCUCAUACACAUGGAUAACAUACCGAAAGGUAUGCUAAUACAAGAUGAUAUAAGAGAUUCGCAUGGAUUUCUUAUCAAAGCUCCGGCGGUAUGAGAUGGACCCGCGUCUGAUUAGCUAGUUGGUAGGGUAACGGCUUACCAAGGCGACGAUCAGUAGCCGACCUGAGAGGGUGAUCGGCCACAUUGGAACUGAGACACGGUCCAAACUCCUACGGGAGGCAGCAGUGGGGAAUAUUGCACAAUGGGCGAAAGCCUGAUGCAGCAACGCCGCGUGAGCGAUAAAGGCCUUCGGGUCGUAAAGCUCUGUCCUCAAGGAAGAUAAUGACGGUACUUGAGGAGGAAGCCCCGGCUAACUACGUGCCAGCAGCCGCGGUAAUACGUAGGGGGCUAGCGUUAUCCGGAUUUACUGGGCGUAAAGGGUGCGUAGGUGGUUUCUUAAGUCAGGAGUGAAAUGCUACGGCUUAACCGUAGUAAGCUCUUGAAACUGGGAAACUUGAGUGCAGGAGAGGAAAGUGGAAUUCCUAGUGUAGCGGUGAAAUGCGUAGAUAUUAGGAGGAACACCAGUAGCGAAGGCGGCUUUCUGGACUGUAACUGACACUGAGGCACGAAAGCGUGGGGAGCAAACAGGAUUAGAUACCCUGGUAGUCCACGCCGUAAACGAUGAGUACUAGGUGUCGGGGGUUACCCCCCUCGGUGCCGCAGCUAACGCAUUAAGUACUCCGCCUGGGGAGUACGCUCGCAAGAGUGAAACUCAAAUGAAUUGACGG